rnacentral:rRNA from 1 species
UAGGGAAUCUUUCGCAAUGGACGCAAGUCUGACGGAGCAACGCCGCGCGAGUGAAGAAGGAUUUCGGUUCGUAAAACUCUGUUGUUAGAGAAGAACAGCGCAUAGAGUAACUGUUAUGCGUGUGACGGUAUCUAACCAGAAAGCCACGGCUAACUACGUGCCAGCAGCCGCGGUAAUACGUAGGUGGCAAGCGUUGUCCGGAUUUAUUGGGCGUAAAGCGAGCGCAGGCGGUCAAUUAAGUCUGGUGUGAAAGCCCCCGGCUCAACCGGGGGGGGUCAUUGGAAACUGGUUGGAGUGAGUGCAGAAGAGGAGAGAGGAAUUCCGUGUGUAGCGGAGAAGUGCGUAGAUGUAGGGAGGAACACCGGUGGCGAGGGCGACUCUCUGGUCUGUAACUGACGCGGGGGCUCGAAAGCGUGGGUAACAAACAGG